AAUCUAUAUUAAUUUUCCGCUUCUAUAAUAGGGAAUGCGUAGUUUUCAGGGAAACAUAUUUUAGUCACGUCCCCUAUUUCUUAAUAAAAAUUUUAAUUUCAUCAAUUUUAUGUUUUCAGCCAGCAUAAUGAGAAUGGAAAAAUUUUCUGAGGUGUUAGGUUUGAGUGUGACAAAAAUAUAUUAUAAGUAACAUCAUCUUAAUUUGGUGAACCCAAGAAGAUCACACAGAUUCUAGGGGACGGUAAUUGUUUUCUUAGAAAGAUGCAUUAGCUAUGAAUUAACAAAUAGCCAGGAGAAUCAUGACAAAAUUCUUUAUAUAAAUAAAAAAUAUUUUUACCACUUAUCUCAUUUUAUUGGAAGUGAUUCAAAAAAUUGUUAUGGAUGAAAUAUCAUCCACUGCAACAAUGUUGCAAACAAAAUUGAUUUUUUA